GUUGGUGGUUUGGCGGGAGGGGUCCACCCGUUCCCAUUCCGAACACGGAAGUUAAGCCUCCCAGCGCCGAUGGUACUUCGCAAGAGGGAGAGUAGGUAGCCGCCAACU
rnacentral:rRNA from 1 species